CCCGUUCUGCGGCUCUCUUCUUAUUCUCUGGACACCACCGUGUCUUCCCAUACGCAGUACGCUGGCGCGUGUCUGCGUGCUUUAUGCCUUCAUUCGAACAAGGGCUGAGCGGUGCGCCUCUGCUUACUCCUCUUUGUAAAGCUUGUCUGCGUGCGAUACCACGCACAGACGAGACUGCUCACUCACUCGCGUUAGGCAAGAGCUCACUGACUUACUCACCACCCACGACGUUUCCGCUUGUUGCCUUCCUCGGCUCCCCGACCUAAUCAAUAAAAAACAAAGCAACAGCACGAGCGGUAUCCAGUCGCCUCGAUCCACCUCCCUUCUCAUUCGCCCAACUUGUCCUCUCUCUCUGUUGGACCCAUCGAUUGCCAUCCGUAGACGCCAUUACGUAGCCCAUGUCGUCGUCUUCGGAGAAGGAGGCAAAGAAGCAGGAGGAGCUUCGGCUGGCCGGCAGCGACUCCGAAGGCGCGCGUGCUGCCGUGAAGGCACAGCGCGAACUGAAGAAGAAGCGAGACGCCAUGCGCAAAUUGGAGAAGAGGCUCAAGGGUAUCAAGGACGAUGCUGCCAAAAAGGUGGAGUACGACGCUGCGAAAGCUGUCGUGGAUGAGGUGGCGGCAGAGGUAAACGCGAUCGAGCGAAAGCUGGCGGAGUUGACCGGGAAGGCUCUCGAGAGCGCUGCCGCUCCUGAACCGGCCCCUGCCGCAUCCCCUUCUUCACCGAUUUCUUUGACAUCGGUAACCGUGACGGCAACGGGUAAGGAGGCGGCAAAGGAAUCCCAGAUGUGUUUUGUGGGUCAAAGUGGCGACGAGGCCCGUUCCGCUGUGAAGACGCAGCGCGAGUUGAAGAAGAAGCGCGAUGCACUGCGCAAGGUGCAGAAGAAAAUGAGGUCGUGUGGCAGUGACGCCGAGGCCGCCGCCGCUAUGGAGCAGGAGGCGGCACUGCUCGCCGAGAUCGGCCACCUCGAAGCCCUGAGCGGGGCAUCGUCGGCUCCGUCGACAGCGCACGUUGCGGCCGCCCCUUCCGCCUCGACUCCUGCGACGGCUGCGGCCUCGCCAACAGCGUUGGUCACCGUCGCGACCAACAAGAGCAGCGGCGCCAAAGCGGUGAUAAGCGGCGAGCCUGCCAAAGAGAUCACUGCGGAGGAGCGGGCGGCGUCAGCGAAGAGACUGCACGACCUCGUUCAAGGUGCCAUGGAUGCCAACCGGCUCAAGUGCCUGCACGUUCUACCGCGCGACGCCGUCGUGCACCCCCGUAUCGCCGAGGUAGCUGUGCUGAUGGAGCAGAUGAUUCUUGUCGGCGGCAGUGCACGCGCCUUGGCACUCAUCUCCGCCUUCCGCGAGCUGAGUCGCGCAACCACCGUCCUCGCCGUGCCAUCUCUGAACGAGGUGGACACAACCGCGUUUGAAAAGCUCAUCCAGAUCAACUUUGACUUUGUGCGCCGCAAGCGUGAGGCCUCGGCCGGCAUGCGCCACGUGAAGGAUGUGCUCGUGCGCCGCUUCGUCGCGUUGCGGGACGAGGUAAUUCACCCAAAGCCGAGCAUGGUCGACCUCAUCAAGGACCUCGGAGGUCCGCGUGAGGUGACGCUGAAGAUACUGGACGUCAUUGAGGCCGAGCUGAAGAUGUCGUUCAAGAGCAUUGUAGAGGAUCGCUCGCUGCCGUACGUUUCGAGCAGCGACACUAUCUUAGUGUUUGGCCGCAGUAGUCUGGUCGAGUACAUCUUGUUGUCCCGUUCGCGUGAUCCACAAUGCAAGCCGAAGCGCGUCAUUGUGAUCGACUCUGCGCCCCUCUUUGAAGGCCGGCAGCUGGCCGAAAAGCUCUCGAGCGCCGGCAUUGGCGUGACGUACGGUCUCAUCACGGCAUGCUGCACAUUGAUGCCCAAGUGCACGCGUGUGUUCAUGGGGGCUUCGGCUGUGCUGCAGAACGGUGACAUGUUUGGCCGCUGCGGCAUGGCGCUCGUGGCGGCCUGCGCGAAGCUGUUCCGCAAACCUGUGCUGUGCUUUAGUGAGAGUUACAAAUUUGUGCCAGAGGUGUGGGUGGGCAACUUGGCACAGAACACAAAACUUGCGGACAUGCGGCCUGCCGCGGAAGUGCACGGCAGUGACACAGGCACGCACAGCCCGCUUGUAUACCACACCCCACCCACGCUAUCCCCUCCUCAGCUACGUGCCUCUGGGGGUUGGGGCACACCGGCGCGCGGUGCCGACUUCCUUGCACGCAGCGGUGGCGGUGGCGCGGUUCCGUUCUCGUCGAGUGCCUCCGGCUACCUUUACGAUCUGACGCCUGCCUCGUACGUAGACAUGAUCAUCUGCGAAAUGGGGUGCCUGCACACGUCUGCCAUCGUGGCAGCUAUUAAGGAUCGCGAAGGCCGCGACACGUCGCAGCUUGUGAAUCUUGUCCGGGGAUGAGCGAAACAGCUUGCAGAAGAUCUGGCUUGCUGCUGCGAGCAUCUGACCCACGCUCACCGCGGCGUCGACUCUUGAUUUGCAUGGCGUACUGUGGCGGCUCGUUGCGCCUAAGGCAGAGGGCGGCAUAGGGCCUUUUCUCUCUCUGUUUGUGUGUGUGUGUGCUGGCCACUGUGAACCUCUCUCGCUCUCACCUUGUGUGGCGUGGCGUGGCGUCAUUCUUAAAUGGAUUCGUCUCCUUCCGAACAAGAGCAGUGACGAGCAAAUAGAAGAGAGGAGGAGCUGGGACAAGGAGCGGGCGCGGAAAUCCGCAGGCCUUGUCUCUCCUUUUCCGUGGCCCGAUAGGCUUCUCCCUGGGCGUUUUGCGCCGUGCUGGCAAGUGGCUGACAGGUUCCCUUCACUUGCCUGCUUUGAGGGCCACCUGCACACGUGAGCAUUAGCGCAGCCUCUGUGAUGCAAGCCUGAGGGAGGGCGGUGGUGGCGCACCGUAGUCUGCGGUGCUUCGGCUGCUCUCAGGUGCGGUACCACGCUUGCGCCAUCACAGGGGUCGUGACUGGAGCGUAAAUACGCAGUACACGCUCUCUCUAACGACAACCGCAACAAU
rnacentral:misc_RNA from 1 species